AUGGGGAAGAAAUUAGCAGCGAAGAAGAAGAAGCACUCCAAGAAGGAGAAACAUUCAAGCCAACCGAAGAAUCACGAGGAAGGAGGCGCUUCUGUUGAUGUUGAUAAGAAUAAGCAUCUGUUCAUUGUUGUGUUUCAUCAUGGUGGUGGGUUUGUAAUGUUGAACAAUGGUGUUACGAUUUACAGAGGGAAAUGGUUCUAA